rnacentral:lncRNA from 1 species
CCUGGAGCCAGUGAGACCACUGGUUAUGAUGGAGCAGAGGCGAGUGAACCCGGAGCACCGAGGGCUGUGUGCUUGUGAGCUGAUGAGUAAUACAGAAUUUGCUUUUCCUGGGAUAAUCCAUAGAGAUGGAUGUUGGGCAAAGAAAAUGCAAAAGGAAGCCAGGAUCAUGUGAUUGUGUUGGACAAGGAGAAGGAAAGGGAUCCACGCUGCCCUGCCAGCCCUCCUUGUUUGGGGCAGAAUGAACAGGCUCGCAGGGCUCACAGGCAUUCGAGCUGUGUCCUGGCCCUCACUGUUUCCUCUGAAGGAAGAUGAGCACAGCAGAGGAGGAACUUCACCCGUCCAGAGGACUCACACAUGGAGAGUGUGAGUUUCACUGUUUUAGUGGAGAGGCAAUGACACUGGUGAGUCUGUGCAGCUGGUUAGUUAUUUC